rnacentral:rRNA from 1 species
UACGAAGGGAGCUAGCGUUGUUCGGAAUCACUGGGCGUAAAGCGCACGUAGGCGGAUUUGUCAGUCAGGGGUGAAAUCCCGGGGCUCAACCUCGGAACUGCCUUUGAUACAGCAAGUCUUGAGUUCGAGAGAGGUGGGUGGAAUUCCUAGUGUAGAGGUGAAAUUCGUAGAUAUUAGGAAGAACACCAGUGGCGAAGGCGGCUCACUGGCCCGAUACUGACGCUGAGGUGCGAAAGCGUGGGGAGCAAACAGG